rnacentral:lncRNA from 1 species
UCUUCGCCCACAAUACUGAUAGCAAAAAACAGGAAUAAAAGGUUGAGAAAUUUUAGAAAAGUCAGUCAGUUUGGGGGAGCCAGACAACGAGAGACAAAUGGAGAAGCAGAGGGAGAAGAGUGUAACCAAUCAACUCAGUCCAGUGUUAACAAUAAAUAAUCUUUGCCUAUCACUGAGUCUUGCAAUGAAACCUCCAAGCUGUUUUGACCUGAACAACAUUGGAUGGGAAAAUACCGACAGGGAAAGCGCAACAACUAUCAGUGCCGAUCGCAGCGGAACGUUUGUAAUUUGGACUAAAGACUGUGAAAGUAUCAUCGAUUACGCUGAUAAAUUUCAAAGGAAAGAAUCG